rfam:Schistosoma curassoni strain Dakar, Senegal genome assembly, scaffold: SCTD_contig0003062
AUCCAGCUGACGAGUUCGAACUAGGACGAAAUGCGAGUUCUGGGU